GUGCUCGCUUUGGCAGCACACAUACUAAAAUUGGAAUGAUACAGAGAUUAGCAUGGCCCCUGCGCAAGGAUGACACGCAAAUUCGUGAAGCAUUCCAUAUUUUG
rnacentral:snRNA from 1 species